UUUCAAAGCUGUAGGGGUCACAUGGCCGUGUGGCCAAGCCGUGUGACUCACACGGCCAAGAGACACGCCCGUGUCUUAGGCUGUUUGGACAUUCGAAAUAGGGACACACGGCUGUGUCCCAACCUGUGUCUGUGCCCGUGUAACUCACUGACUUGUGCCACACGGCCGAGCCACACGCCCGUGUGCUAGGCUGUGUGAGUAUACUGACUUGCAUUCUUAAAAAAGAUAUAGGGACACAUGGCUGUGUCACUUGGCGGUCUGUGACACAUGGCUGAGACACACGCCCGUGUCUUUGCCCGGGUGGACAAAAAUAGGCCAUUUUACAAGCCAUAUUUC
rnacentral:lncRNA from 1 species